UGGCACUCAAACACACUUUACAACAGAUGACAAAUAAUUGAAGUCUAUUAUAUUCUUUCUAAAUCGGUUUCUUCUUAAGGCCUUCUUCUUCACCAUUAGCAGUGCAGUUUAGUAAAAUCAGUGCAAUUUAAGCGUCGAAAUAUGACCGUUGUGAGGGAUCGUCCCUCUAUAUUUACUUUCACUUGUUCUUCAACUUCAAAACUCUGAUGAAAAAUACACAAAAUAAUUUUGAGAAAUCAUCCAACAUACUGCUGAGAAGAAAGCUUGAUAAUCUUGUGUGCAAAUUCUCCGAAGGAGGCUGUAAAUUUCUCUAUUUUGUGAGUUUUUUGUGUUCUUCUGCUAUGCUGAGAAAAAUUAUAAUUUUUUUUGUUUAACUGCUAUGGAACUAUGCUCAAUUCUCGAAUCUUGUACAUUUGGCAAUCGGGGUUUCUUCUAUUUUAGGGUUCAAGUUGAAAACAGAUUUUAAAUUCGAUCUUUGGUUCUUCAUAUUAAGUUAUUCUAGGGGUUUUCAUUGUUAGAUCAAGGGGAAUUGUAGCUAUCUGAUCUUGAUACAAACCCAACAUUUGUAGUUUAUAGGUGUAUUUGUUGGCUGUUGACAACUUGUAUCCCCUGUUUUACCAACGCUUGCAUAAUCUGUAUAAAUUCAAAGUUCAGAAUUGUGUAAAAGAUUCCUUUUCCGUAUCUCUUUAAGACCUUGUUCCUUUUGAAUAUCCCAUAGGGUAAACUGUUUGAACUUUGCUGAUACAAACACCGGGAACAAACAUCUCCAUGUUUAGGUGGGAUUAAUCGUCUAGACCUAGAAAUUUCAAUAGACGGGGAUGAUGGAUUUUUCCCUACAUCUGGCAAUGACUUGGUAUGUUUGAUGUUGUCCAUCACAAUGAUAUGAGAAAUUUAAAUUUGCACCCUCUUACAGUUGAUCAGAAGUAGUCAAUUCCAGUCGGAAGUAUUGUGUUCGUGUUCUGGUUUGAUCUCUGUCAAUUUUGCACUCGAUGAGAUUGUAUCGCACAUUCUAGACACUGGCAGGGCUUUCACGGAAAAUUUCUGUGCUGAUACAUGUUUGACUUAUCCAUUUAUUUAUUAGGUUGUAUAAAGUAAAUAGGCCUUUUCUUAAUGCUUUUUCAAGUGUACUAUUUUGUGAAUUAUGUGCGUGUGUAUCUAGAAAAGCCAGGACGAGUGGAGCUGCUCAGUACUCAAUUGUUUGUUUUUAUUUA